rnacentral:rRNA from 1 species
AGUCGAGAAUCUUCCGCAAUGGGCGAAAGCCUGACGGAGCGAUGCCGCGUGAGGGAUGACGGCCUUCGGGUUGUAAACCUCUGUCAGAAGGGACGUAUCAUUGACGGUACCUUCAGAGGAAGCCACGGCUAACUACGUGCCAGCAGCCGCGGUAAUACGUAGGUGGCGAGCGUUAUUCGGAUUUACUGGGCGUAAAGGGUCCGCAGGGGGUUUGCCAAGUCUGAUGUGAAAUCCUGAGGCUCAACCUUGGAACUGCAUUGGAAACUGGCGGACUUGAGUCUGCGAGGGGUGAGCGGAAUUCCUGGUGUAGCGGUGGAAUGCGUAGAUAUCAGGAAGAACACCGAUGGCGAAGGCGGCUCACUGGCGCAGUACUAACCCUCAUGGACGAAAGCGUGGGUAGCAAACAGGAUUAGAUACCCUGGUAGUCCACGCUGUAAACGUUGUGCACUAGAUGUGGGAGGUCUGAUCCCUUCCGUGUCCAAGCUAACGCGAUAAGUGCACCGCCUGGGGACUACGGCCGCAAGGCUA